rnacentral:rRNA from 1 species
UACGUAGGGUGCAGGCGUUAAUCGGAAUUACCGGGCGUAAAGCGUGCGCAGGCGGUCUGCUAAGAGAGAUGUGAAAUCCCCGGGCUUAACCUGGGAACUGCGUUUCUAACUGGCAGGCUUGAGUGUGGCAGAGGGGGGUGGAAUUCCACGUGUAGCAGUGAAAUGCGUAGAGAUGUGGAGGAACACCGAUGGCGAAGGCAGCCCCCUGGGCUAACACUGACGCUCAUGCACGAAAGCGUGGGGAGCAAACAGG